rnacentral:lncRNA from 10 species
GGCCGGCGCUGCAGACCCGCUGCUGUUGUCCGGGUCUGUGCGGUCCCGAGGGCCCUCCGUGCCGCCGGCGCCAUGGGCAAUUGCCACACGGUGGGGCCCAACGAGGCGCUGGUGGUUUCAGGAAGCCCAGACUCUGAGCUGAGAAGACAAAAGCUCCAGUUCCAUCCUUGUGGAAAGUCUUGGGACUGAGGGGCAAGAAGAGCCCCAGAGAUGGGUUGCUCUGUGCCUUCCAGUUACUGAGAACCUGGUCUUCAGAACAGAAGUCAAUGCACUGUUAGCUUCAACGCUAUUUUAGGGGUGGGAAGAGGAGAUCUUGCUGAGAACUGAGGAUGCUGGAGUCAGGGAAGCAGAGAAGGUUGGCGGGGGUGACAGAUAAUGCCUGGCACAAUGAUACCUUGGGAUUUGAGAUGAUCAAGCUGAGAUCCAGCUCCCUCUUGUGUGUGGACUCCUGCGAGAGCAGAGCAACUGCCCCCACCCCUGCCCCCACCUGUCUGCCUUGCUCCUUGGACCUGUGUCUAAGACCAGAGGCAUCUCACCCAGCCCAGUUUCAGAAGGAGGAUGCUAAUACAUCUCAUGGUCAUCUUUUCCAUCCUUUCUUAUUAUCUAACUUCCCUCCUUCAGUUUGUAACAUAAAACCUUUUUUCUCUCUACUUUUGAAAAUUUUAAAGGGG